UAGGGAAUCUUCGGCAAUGGGGGGAACCCUGACCGAGCAACGCCGCGUGAGCGAAGAAGGUUUUCGGAUCGUAAAGCUCUGUUGUAAGAGAAGAACGAGUGUGAGAGUGGAAAAUUCACACUGUGACGGUAUCUUACCAGAAAGGGACGGCUAACUACGUGCCAGCAGCCGCGGUAAUACGUAGGUCCCGAGCGUUGUCCGGAUUUAUUGGGCGUAAAGCGAGCGCAGGCGGUUAGAUAAGUCUGAAGUUAAAGGCUGUGGCUUAACCAUAGUACGCUUUGGAAACUGUUUAACUUGAGUGCAAGAGGGGAGAGUGGAAUUCCAUGUGUAGCGGUGAAAUGCGUAGAUAUAUGGAGGAACACCGGUGGCGAAAGCGGCUCUCUGGCUUGUAACUGACGCUGAGGCUCGAAAGCGUGGGGAGCAAACAGGAUUAGAUACCCUGGUAGUCCACGCCGUAAACGAUGAGUGCUAGGUGUUAGACCCUUUCCGGGGUUUAGUGCCGCAGCUAACGCAUUAAGCACUCCGCCUGGGGAGUACGACCGCAAGGUUG
rnacentral:rRNA from 1 species